rnacentral:lncRNA from 1 species
UUAGCUAGCAUAUCCGCAGCUCUGUUAAAAGUCCUUCCUUUAUGGAAAACAUGUGGGCUCUCCAGCUGCUGAAGAAGAUCCCUACACAAAACAAUAAGGUUGGUAUUGGGUCGAGUUCAUUUGUGCAAAAUGAAACUAAAGAUUGAGAAUCACUAACAAUAAUCAAGUUUACACAUUUCAUCUAAAUAGCUAAUCUUAGGCCAAGAUAAAAGCACAGUUAUUUCAGCUUCAAAGGGUGAAUUCGCACUAAUUUGAGCAUGAAAACCUUUAAACCAAUUUCCUUUGUUAUCACAUAUUACUCUUCCUGCUCCCCCUUUCCUAGUUUUAUAGUCAAAGAAAUUGUCAAUGUUUAGCUUUCAUGCUUUCAUUUGGGGUAUCCAUGGUUUGUCGGGCUUGUGACUGGAGAACCUGUGGUUACUAGUUAGUAAGUGAAACUCUACAGCCCUAUCAUAGGAUACGUUGGUGGGUAUGGGAUUAUUUUUAUUGUUGAACAAGUUAUCAUUUCUAGUUAGCCAAAUAUUUCAAAGAUAGAAUGGGAAGACAUCACUCCAAAAUAGGUGUUUCCCUAUUCGUAUGUUUUUCAUCUUCCUGAUUCUAUCUAGCCAAUCAACAAUAGUUAAGUCUUUUAGGGGGUUCUAGGAUUGUUGUCAAGUUGUUAUUGUCCUAUAACUGUAGUGCCAUAUGGCACUCUCUAAAAAUGUGAUCUACGAUUUUGAUUGCACUGCAGAUGCUACAACGAGGUUCCACAUCUAUGCCUAUGUUACUUAAGUAACCUUUAGUCGGGAGUCUUUUGUGAUAACACAAUCAAAUAAAGAAUUUCAUUUCAUCAGGGCACUUCAUUUUCCAAAUCCACUUAUAGGAAGCAGUGGGUUUAGCCGCAUUGAAUUUUUUGUAAGUAUGUGGUGGUAGACUAAACCGGUAGAGAACCGCCUCCCAGGAGCUAAAGAGCAUUGGAGUUUAUCUCUUAAGUUAUGGUUUUUCGGUAUAAUAGUCGCCAAGAUGGUGUCAGCUAUGUCCUUAGAAAGGUCAUAUCCUAUGGAGCUAAGGUCCCAUUUUCCAUUCUUUAUUAGUGUUUCCACAGUUAAGUUUUCCUCCUCCUUGUUCAAAGAAGUAUGAAGUGAAUUCCUAAGAGGAGCUUUGAAGGACGACCAUGUGUUAUUCCAAAAAUUGAUAUAUUUUUUGAUGCCUAGUUCCUAACUCGAACACUCCAUACAGACCCUCUCAUCCUUCCAUAACAUUUUUCCACGUACUGCGACUGUUUUUGGCAUUGUGACGUAUUUCCUCAAGCCUUUUAAGACCUAAACCACCUAUAUCUUUAGGUUUCACUGGGGUGUCUCAGCCCACAAGGUGCAUUUUCUUUUUGGUAUUGUUGGUUCCUCAGAUGAAGUCACGCUUAAUUUUAUCGAUCUGCUUGGUGACUGCUUGAGGGAGCUUAGUAUAUUGUAUUAUGUGGGUAGGGAUAUUAUUUAGACAAGCUUUGGCUAGGGUGGUACAUCCAACAAUAUUUUAAAAAUUUGCUUUCCAUCCCAAUUUUUUUUUCUUAAAGUUGUCAAUGACAAAUUGAAAGUCUUUAGUGCUAGGUGUAGAGGUAAAAAUAGGGAACCUAGGUAUUUUUCAAAGCUCAUACAAGAGUUAAUAUUGAGAAUAGAGAAUAUAUCACCCUUCGUAUUAUCAUCACAAUUAUUAGAAAAUAAAAUUUUUGAUUUCCCAUAAUUAAUGUUUAACCAGAGCAGAUGAAAAAGUGUUGAAGAGUAUUUUUGACAUUUAUGCAGCUACUCCUGUCAGUCAUAGACAGACAUCAGCACUAAGUCACCAGCGAAGAAGAGGUAGAAUGGGUACGGGCCUAGUUUGCUAAUUUUUAUGGGGUCCCACAUACUAGUGUUGAGGUCAUUGUUUAUGUUAUGGGCCAAGACUUCCAUGCAGAGAAUAAAAUGGACGGUGAUAUUGGAUCUCCCUGACAAAUCUCCCUAGAGGGACUGAAAAAGUCAGUCCUCGUACCAUUGACUAAAACUGCUACGGAUAGUACAAAUACAGGACAUUAUGAUGUUUAUAAUAUGGUGAGGGAAGUUAAAGUAAUGUAAUGUGUGCCUAAUAAAGGACUAUUCCGGCUUAUCAAAUGCCUUUUCUAAGACUAUUUUCAUAAUGACACUGCCCAUUUUCCCUUUCAUUUUUUUUGAAAUUUUGGAUUAUUUCCUGAAUGACUAUAGCAUUAUCAGUGGCUUGUCUAUUUUUUAAGGAAGCUAGUUUGGCAGGGUCCGAUGAUUUUGUCCAUAAUAGGACGAAGCCUUUUGGAGAUUAUUUUUAUCACGAUUUUAUAAGAAGUAUUACAAAGACUGAUAGGACGAUAGUUUUGGAGGAGGAAAUACUUUAUUGUCUCCUUCAAUAUUCCAACGCAUACUUAGCGUUGCUCUCUCUAGUCAAUUUUACUUGUUGUUCUUAUUAAAAAAAUUAUCCAAAAUACUUUUUUUUGUUUUAUAUUACUUCAUUCAUAUGCUAAAGUAAUUUUUUUUUUUCUUUUACUCAUUUUUCUUAGUAAAUUAGGAGAGUUUUACCAUUGUUUCUCCACAUUAAGGGUGUACAUGAUUGGGUUAGUUUAAAUUUUCUAACUAUCAAAAUAAGUAAUUCGUGUCGAAUUUUUAAAUCUAUGAAUCAAACCAAAUCAAUAAAAUUUGAAUUUUUCAACCUCAAUUUUUUUUGAGUUUUUCGAUUCUGUCAUUUUUUUUCCGGUUAAGGGUUUCAUACAAACAUGUAAUUAAUUAGUGCUUAAAAUAUUUUUUUAUUCCUAUCAACAUACAAGUAUUUUUGGUGUUCCUUAAGAAAAUAAAACAAUAUAAAAUAAGUUAUGACUAUAAAAUAAUUCAAAAAAAUAAUAAUAGCGUAUAAUAAAUAUUGCAUAUUAAUAAGUUAUAAUAAAAAUAAUCAUAAUUUAAUAAUAUUAAGUCAUGCUAAAAUAAGUCUAGUAAGUAUUAAUUACAUGACUAACUAUUAAAUAGAAAAAUAAAUUAAGAUUAUAGAUUUAUGUAAAACUAAAUAAUAGAUAUCCAACAUUAUUAUCACCCCUCGCGUUUUAAUUGAAUAUGUUUGUUAGCAUUAGUAUUAAUUUGGGUUUCAGAUGAGUUACUAAUAUCUAUGGGCUAUAAAACUUAUCGGAUCAUCCAUAAUUCUAAGUUUAAACUUGAAAUAAUAUGUUGAAAGAUAAAAACAACAAAAAAGUUUAAGAAAUAUUUAUAAAUUACCCCGCAGUAAAUACUUUUAUGCAUUAAAUAUUUUUAAAAAUUAUAUACAUGUAAUAUCAUGUUGAUUCGGGUUGAUUUAGCCUUUUUAGUUAAAAGCAAACUAAACUAAUUAUAGUUGAAUUUAUUUUUUUUCAAAAAGCAAACCAAGUCAACCCAAAUCAUUAGUCGAUUUUUUUUUGGUUUGACUUGAUUUGCGAUUUGAUUGAAUUUUCAGUUUGAUUUUGUUCACCUCUAUUCCAUAUUAUUUAUAGUAUUAAAUAACUACAGAAAAUAGUAUUCCCUUCAUUCAAAAUUACGUGAUACUUUUUGACAUGACACCCUCAUUUAAAAAAAUAACAAUUAAUAUAGUGUCAUAUUACAACCUAUUAAUUUGUACUAGUUGAAGUUAACCAUUCGGAAUUUCAAAAAGACUUUGUACAUGAAUUGGGGAUAAAACGAACACUUUUAUUUUGUCUUUUUUUUUAUAUGUCAAAUUGACGAGUAAAAAAUAAAAAUAAUUGAUAAGUUAUUUUGAAUGAAUAAAGUAGCAGUCAAUUCAAAGUUUCAAAACAUCGUUAAUAAAAUUAAUUUAAUAAAUACAUCCCUAAUUAAAAAGUUUUCUUAAGGCUUGUGAAGUCAAUGUGGGCCAAAUAAGAUGAAACACAUGGAGUAGUUGACAUUUUUUAAAAAACAACAUAUAAUUGUAGCAAAUUCAUUCAAAUUCGUUGCUGCUCUGCUCAACCAUUGCAAAAUGCAAACUCUCGGUGUUUGAAAUCUUGCAACAGGUUCAAACAUAAAAACUUUGACCCAUAUAAUUCGGAUCAGUUUUCGAAUUUGAGUUCUGAGAAUAAUUACCUUUCAAAAGAAGUGUUUUUACUUUUUUAUCGAUCAAUUCAAUGCAAAAAAGAUGUUAAAGAUCAAAAUAAUCAAGUGUUUUUGAAGUUAAAGAAACAAAUUUUGAAAGAUGUUAUAUAAUAAAAGGAGAAAAUACCUUAUUACCCCCUUGAACUAUACCCAAAACGGUUGUGACACACCUCAACUUAAAGGGGGUCCUAUUACCCCCUGAACUAAUUAAAAGUGUAAUUUUAAUACCCUUAGUGCCUACGUGGCACAUACAUGGCACACACAUGUGCCUACGUGGACACUUCAGUGUGUUGUGCCACUUAUGUUCCACGUAGGCACUAAGGGUGUCAAAAUUACACUUUUAAUUAGUUCGGGGGGUAAUAAGACCCUCUUUAAGUUGGGGUGUGUAUCUGCCAUUUUGGGUAUAGUUCAGGGAGGCAAUAGGGUAUUAUCUCUAAUAAAAGAGAAGUAUAUCAAAAAAGACAUAAUAAUUUAACGUAUUCAUGAAUCUACCAACAUCCACAAGCAAAAAUGAGCAAUCCACUAUCUAACAGAUUUAAUAUAAAAGAUCAAAAGAAAUAACUUCACAAAAUUUAUAAAAAUAAAAAGACUCCUAGAAGUGACAUGAUAACACUCAUAACUUACAAAUCCCAUUCCCAAACAUGACUCUCAAACACAUUAGGGCUACUUUAUGAAUUCUACCUAAGUGAGAAGGAAGAAGUCUUAAUUUAUAAAAUAUUGAUGAGAUCAAUAUGUAUAGAAUUUUGUUGCUCGUACUCUGUUAAAUUCUAGUAUAGUUUAAGAUAUCACUUCAUGGAGAUUGAAAUCACCUAGACUUCAAAUUUGUAUUAUCUUUAUUACUAUUUGAAAGAAUCAACUGAUGGGGGGUAAAAUUGAAUUAUGUGGAUUACUUAAAACUUGAACAAAUUACUUUCUAAAAAUUUAUAAUUAAAAAGAGUUAGGAAUCGGUGAAUUCACUUGAUAAUAUUUUUAUAAUAAAAUCUCAGUUUUCACAUAUAUUUUAUCUAAAGAAUAAUUGCUUAUUGCUAAUACAAUUAUAUUUAGUUCACUAAGAAAUAAAUAAUUAAUUAACACUCCUUGAGGUUAUGCCAAUUAAAUAAUUUAAGAUUAGUGAAAAUUGAAUCAAAAUAUUUUCUUGCUUGAAUUGUUCUAAAAGGUGUAAAGAUCUCUUGCGAUUAGUCUUUAAAUCAGUAAACUUAUUUGAGUCAAUCCCUCAAUGAGAAUUAGAACUGAAAGAAAUAAGAUAAAGACACCUUAGAUCAAUAAACUUAUUUGAAUUAAUCCCUCCGUGAGAAUUAGGACUAAAAGAGAUAAAAUAGAGAUCAUUAAAUCAAUAAACUUGCUUGAGUUAAUCCCUCAACGAGAAUUAGGACUAAAAGAAGCAAAAUUAAAAAUUUGAAAUAAUAAAUAAUUAAAAAUUACUCACCAUCUACUAUUUUACUCAUUAGUCAUUAUAUAUUAAUUUUGCUUCGUGAGAAUUACAAAAUCAACAUAAAUAUAACUUAAGAGAUAAAAUAAAAAGAUGUGAAAAUAAUAAUUAAUAAAGUCAUUAUUCUGGCACAAUAUGAGGAUGUAAGUAAUACUUGUAGGCGAAGCAUGUAUUAAAAUUAAGAUAGGACUAUAUAUCUAUAUAUAUAUAUCGAGUUUCAUCAACCAUCCCAAUCGAAAGAAUUUACUCCAUUAUGGAGAAAAGUUAAGACUACUAAAAAAAUAUUAUCCUAUUAAAAUAAAAGAGAGAAAGAAAACAAGACUAAUGAAUCUUUUUCAUGGUGUGUAUUAUGUCUUUACAAUGAAAGAACCUUCCCUAUUUAUAGAAAAUUUUCUGUGAAGGCUUUGAUGAGAAUUUUCAAUACAAUAACAAUAUAUCAUGAGAUCUUGAGGAGAAUUUUGCAUGUAAAUUGUUGACACCUAAUUUUCGUCCUCCCCAACUAAGUUAAAUUUUGAAUUUCUUCGACUUUAAAUAAAAUUACAACAUUUGUUUUAUCUGGAUUUAAAUUUUUUCAAGUAUUUAUUUUGAUAAUUUUGUCAUUUUUAGUAGUGAUUAUACAUUUUCGUAUACACGAAGUCGUAUAAUUUUGUUACUUAAACAAUUAUUUUACAGAAAUUUGGAUUUUAAUCAAGGGUUAUCUUGACAAUUAAUUCAAUGGUUAAAGUCUUUAUUAAAAUAUAAUUUAUUUUUUAAAAAUAUUAAUUUAGUUGAAAAUUAUUUUUUAAUUUUAUUAAAUCAAGAAGCUCUAAAUUAAAAUAAUUGUUAAUUCAUUUCAAAUUUUAAUUAAAUUUGGUUAAUUUAUUAAAUUUGACCUUCAUUGAAAAAAACUUAGUCAUAAUUACAAUGCAAUUGACCAAUUAAUAUUCAAUUAGGCUAACAUUUAAAUUCAUUUGACUAAAUUCUAGCAAUUAGGCUAAUUGUCCAAUUAGCCUAAAUAACCUAAAAUCCCUUAAGUCCUAAUUUCCAUCAAACCCAACCAAGUUUUCAGCAACCCACAAUAAUACUCACCAGUCGGCCCAACAAGCCUUCUAACCCGGCCCAUCCCAAUUCUUUUAGUUCCUCUUCUCCACAAACAGUGUCAACAAUGCCAAACGGGCGUACAAAUCAACAGCAACAUCGCACAACACACAACAGCUUCCAACCCGUCAACAACAAAUGGCAGAAGCCAUCCCAACUCCAACAGCGUACAAAACCAACGGCUGUACCGCAUAUAAGUACAACAACAAACAACACGCCGAUAGCUGUAUCAACGACAUAUUGCAGAGAAGCAGCGAUCAGCUGCAACAACAGCUCAGCAACAACGGUCCAUUCGUACCAACCUUAACCCCAAAUUCAAAUUUCAAAAACCCUUUCCGAAAAUCCUAAAACACCCCCUCUGUUCCCCCCAAAAUCAGUCUAAAAAUCUCAUAUAAAUACCCAAGAACAAGAGUUAAAGAAAGGGGGAUUUUUGGGGAAAAACUUGAGGAUUGUGAAGAUGCAUGCUUCUAAUCUCACGUAACCAAAAAUUCUCGACAAACACCAAAAAAUUACCAAAAAAAUGAUGACCUGUUGGAAUUUCAUUGAUCGAAUCGGGUCUAGGUGAUGAAAGUCGCAUCAUUAUAAGCCCGUCGGUCUCAUUCGCUGUUCGAAAAAAGGUAAUCCCUUUUCGUCAAUCUUCUCUAUGCCAUGUAUUAUGAUUUAUUGAUAUAGAAAUCUCUUCACCCUGCUAUUUUCUCCUGUAUUAAAAGCCACACAGUAUGGCAGAUGAAGCAGAGGAGCCCGUGACAUGCUUG